UACGUAGGGUGCAAGCGUUAAUCGGAUUCAUUGGGCGUAAAGGGUGCGUAGGCGGCGCGGUAAGUCGGGUGUGAAAUCUCGGAGCUUAACUCCGAAACUGCAUUCGAUACUGCCUUGCUCGAGGACUGGAGAGGAGAUUGGAAUUCACGGUGUAGCAGUGAAAUGCGUAGAUAUCGUGAGGAAGACCAGUGGCGAAGGCGGAUCUCUGGACAGUUCCUGACGCUGAGGCACGAAGGCCAGGGGAGCAAACGGG
rnacentral:rRNA from 1 species